rnacentral:rRNA from 1 species
UACGGAGGAGGCAAGCGUUAUCCGGAAUUAUUGGGCGUAAAGCGUCCGCAGGUGGCGAUUCAAGUCUGCGGUCAAAGACUGGGGCUUAACCCUGGAAAGGCCGUGGAAACUGAAAAGCUAGAGUGCAGUAGGGGUAGAGGGAAUUCCCGGUGUAGCGGUGAAAUACGUAGAGCUCGGGAAGAACAUCGGUGGCGAAAGCGCUCUGCUGGACUGCAACUGACACUCAGGGACGAAAGCUAGGGGAGCGAAUGGG